CCUACGGGUGGCUGCAGUGGGGAAUAUUGGACAAUGGGCGAAAGCCUGAUCCAGCCAUGCCGCGUGUGUGAAGAAGGCCUUCGGGUUGUAAAGCACUUUCAGUGGGGAAGAAAGCCUUGGGGCUAAUACCCUCGAGGAAGGACAUCACCCACAGAAGAAGCACCGGCUAACUCCGUGCCAGCAGCCGCGAUAAUACGGAGGGUGCGAGCGUUAAUCGGAAUUACUGGGCGUAAAGCGCGCGCAGGCGGUCUGAUAAGCCGGUUGUGAAAGCCCCGGGCUCAACCUGGGAACGGCAUCCGGAACUGUCAGGCUAGAGUGCAGGAGAGGAAGGUAGAAUUCCAGGUGUAGCGGUGAAAUGCGUAGAGAUCGGGAGGAAUACCAGUGGCGAAGGCGGCCUUCUGGACUGACACUGACGCUGAGGUGCGAAAGCGUGGGUAGCAAACAGGAUUAGAUACCCGAGUAGUC
rnacentral:rRNA from 1 species